AGUACCCCGAGGAAAAGAAAUCAACCGAGAUUCCCCCAGUAGCGGCGAGCGAACGGGGAGCAGCCCAGAGCCUGAAUCAGUGUGUGUGUUAGUGGAAGCGUCUGGAAAGGCGUGCGAUACAGGGUGACAGCCCCGUACACAAAAAUGCACAUACUGUGAGCUCGAUGAGUAGGGCGGGACACGUGGUAUCCUGUCUGAAUAUGGGGGGACCAUCCUCCAAGGCUAAAUACUCCUGACUGACCGAUAGUGAACCAGUACCGUGAGGGAAAGGCGAAAAGAACCCCGGCGAGGGGAGUGAAAAAGAACCUGAAACCGUGUACGUACAAGCAGUGGGAGCACGCUUAGGCGUGUGACUGCGUACCUUUUGUAUAAUGGGUCAGCGACUUAUAUUCUGUAGCAAGGUUAACCGAAUAGGGGAGCCGAAGGGAAACCGAGUCUUAACUGGGCGUUAAGUUGCAGGGUAUAGACCCGAAACCCGGUGAUCUAGCCAUGGGCAGGUUGAAGGUUGGGUAACACUAACUGGAGGACCGAACCGACUAAUGUUGAAAAAUUAGCGGAUGACUUGUGGCUGGGGGUGAAAGGCCAAUCAAACCGGGAGAUAGCUGGUUCUCCCCGAAAGCUAUUUAGGUAGCGCCUCGUGAAUUCAUCUCCGGGGGUAGAGCACUGUUUCGGCAAGGGGGUCAUCCCGACUUACCAACCCGAUGCAAACUGCGAAUACCGGAGAAUGUUAUCACGGGAGACACACGGCGGGUGCUAACGUCCGUCGUGAAGAGGGAAACAACCCAGACCGCCAGCUAAGGUCCCAAAGUCAUGGUUAAGUGGGAAACGAUGUGGGAAGGCCCAGACAGCCAGGAUGUUGGCUUAGAAGCAGCCAUCAUUUAAAGAAAGCGUAAUAGCUCACUGGUCGAGUCGGCCUGCGCGGAAGAUGUAACGGGGCUAAACCAUGCACCGAAGCUGCGGCAGCGACGCUUAUGCGUUGUUGGGUAGGGGAGCGUUCUGUAAGCCUGUGAAGGUGUGCUGUGAGGUAUGCUGGAGGUAUCAGAAGUGCGAAUGCUGACAUAAGUAACGAUAAAGCGGGUGAAAAGCCCGCUCGCCGGAAGACCAAGGGUUCCUGUCCAACGUUAAUCGGGGCAGGGUGAGUCGACCCCUAAGGCGAGGCCGAAAGGCGUAGUCGAUGGGAAACAGGUUAAUAUUCCUGUACUUGGUGUUACUGCGAAGGGGGGACGGAGAAGGCUAUGUUGGCCGGGCGACGGUUGUCCCGGUUUAAGCGUGUAGGCUGGUUUUCCAGGCAAAUCCGGAAAAUCAAGGCCGAGGCGUGAUGACGAGGCACUACGGUGCUGAAGCAACAAAUGCCCUGCUUCCAGGAAAAGCCUCUAAGCAUCAGGUAACAUCAAAUCGUACCCCAAACCGACACAGGUGGUCAGGUAGAGAAUACCAAGGCGCUUGAGAGAACUCGGGUGAAGGAACUAGGCAAAAUGGUGCCGUAACUUCGGGAGAAGGCACGCUGAUACGUAGGUGAAGCGACUUGCUCGUGGAGCUGAAAUCAGUCGAAGAUACCAGCUGGCUGCAACUGUUUAUUAAAAACACAGCACUGUGCAAACACGAAAGUGGACGUAUACGGUGUGACGCCUGCCCGGUGCCGGAAGGUUAAUUGAUGGGGUUAGCGCAAGCGAAGCUCUUGAUCGAAGCCCCGGUAAACGGCGGCCGUAACUAUAACGGUCCUAAGGUAGCGAAAUUCCUUGUCGGGUAAGUUCCGACCUGCACGAAUGGCGUAAUGAUGGCCAGGCUGUCUCCACCCGAGACUCAGUGAAAUUGAACUCGCUGUGAAGAUGCAGUGUACCCGCGGCAAGACGGAAAGACCCCGUGAACCUUUACUAUAGCUUGACACUGAACAUUGAGCCUUGAUGUGUAGGAUAGGUGGGAGGCUUUGAAGUGUGGACGCCAGUCUGCAUGGAGCCGACCUUGAAAUACCACCCUUUAAUGUUUGAUGUUCUAACGUGGACCCGUGAUCCGGGUUGCGGACAGUGUCUGGUGGGUAGUUUGACUGGGGCGGUCUCCUCCUAAAGAGUAACGGAGGAGCACGAAGGUUGGCUAAUCCUGGUCGGACAUCAGGAGGUUAGUGCAAUGGCAUAAGCCAGCUUGACUGCGAGCGUGACGGCGCGAGCAGGUGCGAAAGCAGGUCAUAGUGAUCCGGUGGUUCUGAAUGGAAGGGCCAUCGCUCAACGGAUAAAAGGUACUCCGGGGAUAACAGGCUGAUACCGCCCAAGAGUUCAUAUCGACGGCGGUGUUUGGCACCUCGAUGUCGGCUCAUCACAUCCUGGGGCUGAAGUAGGUCCCAAGGGUAUGGCUGUUCGCCAUUUAAAGUGGUACGCGAGCUGGGUUUAGAACGUCGUGAGACAGUUCGGUCCCUAUCUGCCGUGGGCGCUGGAGAACUGAGGGGGGCUGCUCCUAGUACGAGAGGACCGGAGUGGACGCAUCACUGGUGUUCGGGUUGUCAUGCCAAUGGCACUGCCCGGUAGCUAAAUGCGGAAGAGAUAAGUGCUGAAAGCAUCUAAGCACGAAACUUGCCCCGAGAUGAGUUCUCCCUGACCCUUUAAGGGUCCUGAAGGAACGUUGAAGACGACGACGUUGAUAGGCCGGGUGUGUAAGCGCAGCGAUGCGUUGAGCUAACCGGUACUAAUGAACCGUGAGGCUUAACCUU
rnacentral:rRNA from 1 species